rnacentral:rRNA from 1 species
AACGUUACCAAACUGUUGCCUCGGCGGGAUCUUCUGCCCCGGGUGCGUCGCAGCCCCGGACCAAGGCGCCCGCCGGAGGAAUCAACCAAAACUCUUAUUGUAUACCCCCUCGCGGGUUUUUUUUAUAAUCUGAGCCUUCUCGGCGCCUCUCGUAGGCGUUUCGAAAAUGAAUCAAAACUUUCAACAACGGAUCUCUUGGUUCUGGCAUCGAUGAAGAACGCAGCGAAAUGCGAUAAGUAAUGUGAAUUGCAGAAUCCAGUGAAUCAUCGAAUCUUUGAACGCACAUUGCGCCCGCCAGUAUUCUGGCGGGCAUGCCUGUCCGAGCGUCAUUUCAACCCUCGAACCCCUCCGGGGGGUCGGCGUUGGGGAUCGGCCUUCCUUCACGGGGGCCGUCUCCGAAAUACAGUGGCGGUCUCGCCGCAGCCUCUCCUGCGCAGUAGUUUGCACACUCGCAUCGGGAGCGCGGCGCGUCCACAGCCGUUAAACACCCAACUUUCUGAAAUGUUGACCUCGGAUCAGGUAGGAAUACCCGCUGAACUUA